ACGCUGGCGGCGUGCCUAAUACAUGCAAGUCGAACGCACAGCGAAAGGUGCUUGCACCUUUCAAGUGAGUGGCGAACGGGUGAGUAACACGUGGACAACCUGCCUCAAGGCUGGGGAUAACAUUUGGAAACAGAUGCUAAUACCGAAUGAAACUUAGUGUCGCAUGACACGAAGUUAAAAGGCGCUUUGGCGUCACCUAGAGAUGGAUCCGCGGUGCAUUAGUUAGUUGGUGGGGUAAAGGCCUACCAAGACAAUGAUGCAUAGCCGAGUUGAGAGACUGAUCGGCCACAUUGGGACUGAGACACGGCCCAAACUCCUACGGGAGGCUGCAGUAGGGAAUCUUCCACAAUGGGCGAAAGCCUGAUGGAGCAACGCCGCGUGUGUGAUGAAGGCUUUCGGGUCGUAAAGCACUGUUGUAUGGGAAGAACAGCUAGAAUAGGGAAUGAUUUUAGUUUGACGGUACCAUACCAGAAAGGGACGGCUAAAUACGUGCCAGCAGCCGCGGUAAUACGUAUGUCCCGAGCGUUAUCCGGAUUUAUUGGGCGUAAAGCGAGCGCAGACGGUUGAUUAAGUCUGAUGUGAAAGCCCGGAGCUCAACUCCGGAAUGGCAUUGGAAACUGGUUAACUUGAGUGCAGUAGAGGUAAGUGGAACUCCAUGUGUAGCGGUGGAAUGCGUAGAUAUAUGGAAGAACACCAGUGGCGAAGGCGGCUUACUGGACUGUAACUGACGUUGAGGCUCGAAAGUGUGGGUAGCAAACAGGAUUAGAUACCCUGGUAGUCCACACCGUAAACGAUGAACACUAGGUGUUAGGAGGUUUCCGCCUCUUAGUGCCGAAGCUAACGCAUUAAGUGUUCCGCCUGGGGAGUACGACCGCAAGGUUGAAACUCAAAGGAAUUGACGGGGACCCGCACAAGCGGUGGAGCAUGUGGUUUAAUUCGAAGCAACGCGAAGAACCUUACCAGGUCUUGACAUCCUUUGAAGCUUUUAGAGAUAGAAGUGUUCUCUUCGGAGACAAAGUGACAGGUGGUGCAUGGUCGUCGUCAGCUCGUGUCGUGAGAUGUUGGGUUAAGUCCCGCAACGAGCGCAACCCUUAUUGUUAGUUGCCAGCAUUCAGAUGGGCACUCUAGCGAGACUGCCGGUGACAAACCGGAGGAAGGCGGGGACGACGUCAGAUCAUCAUGCCCCUUAUGACCUGGGCUACACACGUGCUACAAUGGCGUAUACAACGAGUUGCCAACCCGCGAGGGUGAGCUAAUCUCUUAAAGUACGUCUCAGUUCGGAUUGUAGUCUGCAACUCGACUACAUGAAGUCGGAAUCGCUAGUAAUCGCGGAUCAGCACGCCGCGGUGAAUACGUUCCCGGGUCUUGUACACACCGCCCGUCACACCAUGGGAGUUUGUAAUGCCCAAAGCCGGUGGCCUAACCUUUUAGGAAGGAGCCGUCUAAGGCAGGACAGAUGACUGG
rnacentral:rRNA from 1 species